rnacentral:rRNA from 1 species
AGAGUUUGAUCCUGGCUCAGGAUGAACGCUAGCGGCAGGCUUAAUACAUGCAAGUCGUGGGGCAGCAUGGUGUAGCAAUACACUGAUGGCGACCGGCAAACGGGUGCGGAACACGUACGCAACCUUCCUUUAACUGGAGAAUAGCCCGGGGAAACCCGGAUUAAUACUCCGUAACAUUAUGAAGUGGCAUCACUUUAUAAUUAUAGCUCCGGCGGUUGAAGAUGGGCGUGCGUCUGAUUAGGUAGUUGGCGGGGUAACGGCCCACCAAGCCUACGAUCAGUAACUGGUGUGAGAGCACGACCAGUCACACGGGCACUGAGACACGGGCCCGACUCCUACGGGAGGCAGCAGUAAGGAAUAUUGGUCAAUGGACGCAAGUCUGAACCAGCCAUGCCGCGUGGAGGAUGAAGGUCCUCUGGAUUGUAAACUUCUUUUAUUUGGGAAGAAACCACCGAUUUCUAUUGGUGU